rnacentral:rRNA from 1 species
GAUGAACGCUGGCGGCGUGCCUAACACAUGCAAGUCGAGCGAAGCACUUUGCUUAGAUUCUUCGGAUGAAGAGGAUUGUGACUGAGCGGCGGACGGGUGAGUAACGCGUGGGUAACCUGCCUCAUACAGGGGGAUAACAGUUAGAAAUGACUGCUAAUACCGCAUAAGACCACAGCACCGCAUGGUGCGGGGGUAAAAACUCCGGUGGUAUGAGAUGGACCCGCGUCUGAUUAGCUAGUUGGUAAGGUAACGGCUUACCAAGGCGACGAUCAGUAGCCGACCUGAGAGGGUGACCGGCCACAUUGGGACUGAGACACGGCCCAAACUCCUACGGGAGGCAGCAGUGUGGAAUAUUGCACAAUGGGGGAAACCCAUAUGCAAGCGACACCGAAUGAGAGAAGAAGUAUUUCGGUAUGUAAAGCUCUAUCAGCAGGGAAGAAAAUGACGGUACCUGACUAAGAAGCACCGGCUAAAUACGUGCCAGCAGCCGCGGUAAAUACGUAUGGUGCAAGCGUUAUCCGGAUUUACUGGGUGUAAAGGGAGCGUAGACGGAUGGGCAAGUCUGAUGUGAAAACCCGGGGCUCAACCCCGGGACUGCAUUGGAAACUGUUCAUCUAGAGUGCUGGAGAGGUAAGAGGAAUUCCUAGUGUAGCGGUGAAAUGCGUAGAUAUUAGGAGGAACACCAGUGGCGAAGGCGGCUUACUGGACAGUAACUGACGUUGAGGCUCGAAAGCGUGGGGAGCAAACAGGAUUAGAUACCCUGGUAGUCCACGCCGUA